AGCAUCUCUGCGAACAUGUAUCCGUUUCUUCCCAUCGCUAAUUAAGCGUGCUUUAGUAAUAUAGGUCGCCAACGGUCGAUCUAGUCCGCCGGAGCAGAUAUGGUAGUCAGAUGUAUAUCUUUAGCGUGGAGCUGAAAUAUUUCUUUCUCUCGCUUUCUCCUAUCAUUAGGUGCUUAUAUAUGAAGAUAUGCAAGGAGGCGUGAUGAUUCUUAUCCACUUAAAUCUGUAUGUUUCAGUGAUGAUUUCCAAACAUGCACUACCAUCUGAUCUCUGUUGUAUAUCUCAUGUUUUUAGUGUUGUAUUCAUGAAUUUGGUAAUGCAAUCAAUGAUGCUAUUUACCCAUAUCUUCUGAUUUAUUGUGAUUGUCAUUGAAAUUAUCACCAUCUUUCGACUGAGGUUGCAAAUUUAGUUUAGCUAUGUUCUUCACAUCCCUGUUUUCAAUUUCUUCAAAUUUUCAUUCUCUCUGUUCUCUAGUCCUAAGCCAACAUCAAUGUUUAAUAUUAAGUGUGAUUUUAUUUGAAAUUGACCAGAGUGUUUUUUGUUGCCCGUGGUAUCUAAUGUCUAGAGUGUUUGUGUUGCUGGAUGUUUCGUUUUGAGGGCAGAAAUAUAAAGCAGAUCUUGCGACACAGUUAGCUUCAUUUGUAAUAAGCUUUCUGUUACAUUAUGCCUGCUUACAUUGAAAUUCAUUUUUUUGCUGAUUAAGAAUUUGAUUCCUAUAUUGUUGACAACUCAAAUAAUUUGUUUUUAUUCACAACUCAAAUUGAUUAAUUAAAUUUUCAUUAUGUAUGAACUUUUAGAGGUGCAGAUGAUGAUGUUUUAGAAUCUUACUCCUUCUGGAGAAAGAUGAAAUUGUAUUCAAAGGAAAUCAGAAUCUCUGAUGCAUUCAUUAAUUUUUUAUUGAAUUAUUUUUCUUUACUCUUUUUAUUGUGUAAUUUUUUGCUAUGUAGUGUUAUGCCUUUUGCCUAUGAUGGCAUUAAAUAUACUUUGAGUAUCUCACUCUGAAAAGAACUUAAACCUGAGGUAUCAAGGCUUAAUUCACUCAUUUUUUUGACAGAAGGAUGGUUGGAAUUGUAUUACUGUUUUUCUCAUUUGUUAAAAGAUUGUUUUUCUGUUAGAGCUUUUUCUCUUCAGUGAUUUUGAAUGUUUGUGCUUCUGGUGAAUGUGGUUUGUGCAUAUGAUGAUAAACAGACAGGGACAUCAGGACUCUAAAAGAGGAUGUUGAUUUGUCAGAUGGGAAUCUCUCUGAUGCACAGUUUAAUCAUAUCUUUUAAAACAAUCUGAGCAUUUUAAUGCACAGUUUAGGCCUUGUAUAACUAAGGCUUCCUAUUUGUUGUCCCUCCUAUCAAAUGAUCAUACAUCACAAUUUACAAAGUGAAACCAUGAUUCCCUUUGUCUUUAUUUUUAUGUUUUUUGUUAUUAUUAUUAUUAUUGUUGUGAUGUGGCUUGUUUGGUCUCCCUCACACAUUUUGAACUGUUUGCCUAUGAUGCAUUUCUAAUGUUAGUAUUAUCAGAUCAAGGAUGAUGAUACUUAAAAUUGUCACUACCUCUGAGGCAAGCACACCUAUGUAUUCUUCCAGCCCAAAGCCUUAAAUUUUCUUGCUUUGCUUCUUUUCCAUUUAACUUUCUCUUUUUAAUCUAUGUUGGGCAAUAUAAAAGUUAUGAUAUAUAUAUAUAUAUAUAUAUAUAUAUAUAUAGAUUUGCAGUUCUUUCAAGCUGAGUACACAGGUUUUGCUACUUCAAUUCUGAUUUUAAUUGUCUACUUAGAGUGGUGUUGACAGUUCCUUGUGGAUUUGAGCAUAUUGAUUUUGGACAACCUACUAGAUAAUGCAGUUGCUGUUAGUUCUUGCUGGUGUCAUUUAGCUGAACGGGCUGACUGGUUAACAUUCAGAUGAUUGGGUCCUGGGCUCCUGGCAACCCAUUUUUUCUUGAUGAUCGUGUUCCUGUUCGUGGUGUUGGAUUGUGCUGUGGGAACGUUUUUUUUUUUUGUGUGUAUGUCUCGUAGUUGUUUUUGUUAUAAAAAAGUUUGAUGUAUAAAUGCAUUUGAUGAUAAAGAUUAGUUUGUGAAAUUUGUAGUUCUUAAUGAACAUUAUUUUUAGUUUUAAAAAAUCAAAUAAAUGAGGUUGUUCUAACA